UAACAAGGAUUCCCCUAGUAACGGCGAGUGAAGCGGGAAGAGCUCAAAUUUGUAAUCUGGCGGCCUCCGGUCGUCCGAGUUGUAGUCUGGAGAAGCGUCGUCCGUGCUGGACCGUGUACAAGUCCCUUGGAACGGGGCGUCGUGGAGGGUGAGAACCCCGUCUAUGACACGGACUGCCGGUGCCCUGCGAUGCGCUCUCGAAGAGUCGAGUUGUUUGGGAAUGCAGCUCAAAACGGGUGGUAAAUUCCAUCUAAAGCUAAAUACUGGCGGAAGACCGAUAGCGAACAAGUACCGUGAGGGAAAGAUGAAAAGCACUUUGGAAAGAGAGUUAAACAGUACGUGAAAUUGUUGAAAGGGAAACGCUUCAAGUCAGUCACGUCCGUCGAGGCUCAGCCGGGUUYCGACCCGGUGCACUUCUCGGCGUGACGGGCCAGCAUCGAUUUUGACCGUCGGAGAAAGGCUCUGGGAACGUGGCACCUUCGGGUGUGUUAUAGCCCUCUGUCGUAUGCGACGGUCGGGAUCGAGGACCGCAGCGUGCCCUUUGCCGGGCCGGGGUUCGCCCACGCAACGCGCUUAGGAUGCUGGCGUAAUGGCUUCAAGCGACCCGUCUUGAAAC
rnacentral:rRNA from 1 species